rnacentral:rRNA from 1 species
AACAGACGCUGGCGGCGUGCCUAACACAUGCAAGUCGUACGAGAAAGGGUCCUUCGGGGCCUGAGUAAAGUGGCGCACGGGUGAGUAACGCGUGGAUAAUCUGCCCUUCAGUUGGGAAUAACUCAUCGAAAGGUGGGCUAAUACCGAAUAAUGCUGUGAGACCUCGGUUGAUCAGCCAAAGAGAGCCUCUGCUUGCAAGCCCUCGCUGAAGGAUGAGUCCGCGUACCAUUAGCUAGUUGGUAGGGUAAUGGCCUACCAAGGCGACGAUGGUUAGCGGGUCUGAGAGGAUGAUCAGCCACACUGGAACUGAGACACGGUCCAGACUCCUACGGGAGGCAGCAGUGAGGAAUCUUGCGCAAUGGGGGCAACCCUGACGCAGCAACGCCGCGUGAGUGAGGAAGGUCUUCGGAUCGUAAAGCUCUGUCGGAUGGAAAGAACCGCAUAGGGGUAAACAGCCCCUGUGUCUGACGGUACCAUCAAAGGAAGCACCGGCUAACUCCGUGCCAGCCGCCGCGGUAACAC